rnacentral:rRNA from 1 species
ACUCCUACGGGAGGCAGCAGUGGGGAAUAUUGCACAAUGGGCGCAAGCCUGAUGCAGCCAUGCCGCGUGUGUGAAGAAGGCCUUCGGGUUGAUAAAGCACUUUCAGUCGUGAGGAAGGUAGUGUAGUUAAUAGCUUGCUAUUAUUUUGACGUUAGCGACAGAAGAAGCACCGGCUAACUCCGUGCCAGCAGCCGCGGUAAUACGGAGGGUGCGAGCGUUAAUCGGAAUUACUGGGCGUAAAGCGCAUGCAGGUGGUUUGUUAAGUCAGAUGUGAAAGCCCGGGGCUCAACCUCGGAAUUGCAUUUGAAACUGGCAGACUAGAGUACUGUAGAGGGGGUGAGAAUUUAUCAGGUGUAGCGGUGAAAAUGCGUAGAGAUCUGAAGG